CAGAGGGGGCAAGCGUUGUUCGGAAUUACUGGGCGUAAAGGGCGCGUAGGCGGCCCUCUAAGUCAGACGUGAAAUCCCUCGGCUCAACCGGGGAACUGCGUCUGAGACUGGAGGGCUUGAAUCCGGGAGAGGGAUGUGGAAUUCCAGGUGUAGCGGUGAAAUGCGUAGAUAUCUGGAGGAACACCGGUGGCGAAGGCGGCAUCCUGGACCGGUAUUGACGCUGAGGCGCGAAAGCCAGGGGAGCAAACGGGAUUAGAUACCCCGGUAGUCCUGGCCCUAAACGAUGAAUGCUUGGUGUGGCGGGUAUCGAUCCCUGCCGUGCCGAAGCUAACGCAUUAAGCAUUCCGCCUGGGGAGUACGGUCGCAAGGCUG
rnacentral:rRNA from 1 species